ACGAACGCUGGCGGCGUGCUUAACACAUGCAAGUCGAACGGAAGGGCCUGCUUUCCCUUGUGGAUUGCGGGUACUCGAGUGGCGAACGGGUGAGUAACACGUGAGUGAUCUGCCCCCAACUUGGGUAUAAGCCUGGGAAACUGGGUCUAAUUCCCGAUAGGACUGCAGGGUGGUGCCUGUGGUGGAAAACGAUUUUCUAGUGGUUGGGGAUGAGCUCGCGGCCUAUCAGCUUGUUGGUGGGGUAAUGGCCUACCAAGGCGGCGACGGGUAGCCGGCCUGAGAGGGUGGACGGCCACAUUGGGACUGAGAUACGGCCCAGACUCCUACGGGAGGCAGCAGUGGGGAAUAUUGCACAAUGGGCGGAAGCCUGAUGCAGCGACGCCGCGUGGGGGAUGACGGCCUUCGGGUUGUAAACUCCUUUCGACCGCGAGGAAGCCACCUGGUUGGAAGGGUGGUGACGGUAGUGGUAGAAGAAGCACCGGCUAACUACGUG
rnacentral:rRNA from 1 species